rnacentral:rRNA from 1 species
CGACCUGAGUUCAGGUGAGGCUACCCGCUGACUAAUAA